GAAAGCGGUCGAGGCGGCCGCGGGUUUUCCCGAGGAAAGUCCGGCCUCCGCAGGGGAAGGUGGUGGGUAACGCCCACCGGGGGCAACCCCAGGGAAAGUGCCACAGAAAACAAACCGCCUUCCGGCCCCGCCGGGAGGUAAGGGUGAAAAGGUGAGGUAAGAGCUCACCGCGUCGCCGGUGACGGCGACGGCACGGCAAACCCCACCUGGAGCAAGGCCAAAUAGGGGAGGAUGGGCUGCCCCGGCCCGCUUGACUCCCGGGUAGGCCGCUCGAGCAUGCCGGCGACGGUAUGCCCAGAUGAAUGGUCGCCCACGACAGAAGCCGGCUUACCGGCCGCUUUCCCUC
rnacentral:RNase_P_RNA from 1 species